rnacentral:rRNA from 1 species
CCUACGGGAGGCAGCAGUGGGGAAUAUUGGACAAUGGGCGAAAGCCUGAUCCAGCCAUGCCGCGUGUGUGAAGAAGGCCUUCGGGUUGUAAAGCACUUUCAGUGGGGAAGAAAGCCUUGGGGCUAAUACCCUCGAGGAAGGACAUCACCCACAGAAGAAGCACCGGCUAACUCCGUGCCAGCAGCCGCGGUAAUACGGAGGGUGCGAGCGUUAAUCGGAAUUACUGGGCGUAAAGCGCGCGUAGGCGGUCUGAUAAGCCGGUUGUGAAAGCCCCGGGCUCAACCUGGGAACGGCAUCCGGAACUGUCAGGCUAGAGUGCAGGAGAGGAAGGUAGAAUUCCCGGUGUAGCGGUGAAAUGCGUAGAGAUCGGGAGGAAUACCAGUGGCGAAGGCGGCCUUCUGGACUGACACUGACGCUGAGGUGCGAAAGCGUGGGUAGCAAACAGGAUUAGAUACCCGGGGUAGUC